AAAGUCGUAACAAGGUUUCCGUAGGUGAACCUGCGGAAGGAUCAUUACAUGAUAUCAUAGCAGGGCUAAGAUGCGCUUUAGUGCGGAGCCUUGCACUGAUAUUCCACCCAUGACUUUGAGCACUUUUUUCUCUCAUCCUCCUCCUCUGUGAUCAAAGGAUUGAUCAUGUGGCAUCCACUGGAUCUUCUUUGGCAACAGGGAGCAGAGGAUGAGAAAUUACCAUACUCUUUUGUAAUUGCAGUCAAUGUCAGCUAUAUCAUAAUUUACAACUUUCAACAACGGAUCUCUUGGUUCUG
rnacentral:misc_RNA from 1 species